rnacentral:rRNA from 1 species
AACGAACGCUGGCGGCAUGCCUAACACAUGCAAGUCGAACGAAGCCUUCGGGCUUAGUGGCGCACGGGUGCGUAACGCGUGGGAAUCUGCCCCUUGCUUCGGAAUAACAGUUAGAAAUGACUGCUAAUACCGGAUGAAGUCUUCGGACCAAAGAUUUAUCGGCAAGGGAUGAGCCCGCGUGGGAUUAGGUAGUUGGUGGGGUAAAGGCCUACCAAGCCGACGAUCCUUAGCUGGUCUGAGAGGAUGAUCAGCCACACUGGGACUGAGACACGGCCCAGACUCCUACGGGAGGCAGCAGUGGGGAAUAUUGGACAAUGGACGCAAGUCUGAUCCAGCAAUGCCGCGUGAGUGAUGAAGGCCUUAGGGUUGUAAAGCUCUUUUACCAGGGAUGAUAAUGACAGUACCUGGAGAAUAAGCUCCGGCUAACUCCGUG